AUGGCGUACCCUCUCCUUCUCCUUCUCAUGGUGCUCCUCCUCCUCGCCUCCCCCGCCAUUUCAUCCACCAAGAGAACUCAGCAGCCAAAGUUCCCGGCCAUCUUCUACUUCGGCGACUCCAUCUUCGACACGGGCAACAACAACCACAUCCCGACUCUGGGCCUGGCGAACCACCCUCCAUACGGGAGGGACUUCCCAGGGAGCAGGCCGACGGGGAGGUUCUCCGAUGGCCGGCUCGUCCCGGACCUCCUCAACGAGAGGCUGCAGCUCAAGGAGUUCGCGCCGCCGUUCCUGGACAGAAGCCUGUCCGACAAGGACAUCGUGACGGGGGUGAACUUCGCGUCUGCCGGGUCGGGGUUCGACGACCGGACGUCGCACCUGGCCAACACCAUGCCAUUGUCGGCGCAGGUAGACCUCUUCAGGGAGGAGUACCUUCCUCGCCUCAGGAGCAUCGCCGGGGACAAGGAGGCUGCCAGGAUCAUUGCCAGCUCUCUGAUAUUUAUCAACUCAGGAACCAAUGAUUUCACUCAUUACUACCGUACAUCAAGGAGGAGGGUGGGCAUUGGUGAAUACCAAGACACUGUGCUCCAGUUGGCGCGUGCUCAUGUCAAGGAGCUGUAUAACCUCGGGGGGCGGCAGUUUAUCUUGGCAGGCCUUCCUCCAUUUGGCUGCAUACCCUUGCAGAUCACAUUGAGUGGAGACCUUGAGAGGGGCUGUGUGGAUGAGCAGAACAGUGAGGCCCAGGUCUACAACUCCAAACUUGAGAGGUUGCUUCGAACAUUGCAAGGCUCACUCAAAGGAAGCAAAAUUGUGUACUUGAAUGCGUACGAAGCUUUCACGGUGAUCCUUCAGCGCACCAAUAAAUAUGGAUUCACAGAGACAACACUGGGAUGUUGUGGGACUGGGCUCACAGAGGUCGGAAUACUUUGCAACAUAUUUACCCCUAUCUGCAGGAAUGUGUCAUCCUAUAUAUUUUAUGAUGCGGUGCACCCGACAGAGAGGGUUUAUAGGAUAGCAACCGAUUACAUAGUGAAAAAUGUAAUUCCACAGUUUUAA
rnacentral:rRNA from 1 species